GUCCAACACUGAUUGAAAAAUAUGCCUUUUUUCAUGCAUCCUUUCCAAGAGGAGGGGGAUACACCUGGAUUCACCACCACCAAGAUUGUGGGGGAAAGAUGCCAUCUUACAGUACACUCCUGCCUCCUUUUACCAUCUGGGCACAGGUGAAUGAGCCAAUCGGCAGCAAGAGGGUGGGGCUCCUUAACCUCCUCUACUACCCUGUUGACCAAACAUGGGCAGGAUGGAUAAGGGGAAGCCUGCCAAGUGAAUGAACCAAAGAAAAGAUGCCGAAGACAUUCUGAAAUGGGACUGAAGUAAAUACAAACCAGCUACCUAACACAGAGCAAUCCCUGGUUAACCAGAUGCGUCUCCACUUUGCAAUCUCCAUUCUUUCAGACGAAAGCAAGAAGAAGAAGGAAAAAGUGCCCCCUUAUCUCCAGAAUUUUAAAGGAGAUUAUGCAAGUUCAUUUAUCAACUUUUUUGCUGAGUUUU